rnacentral:tRNA from 1 species
GCCCUUGUAGCUCAGUCGGAAGAGCGCGGUCUUGGUAAGACCGAGGUCAAGAGUUCGAAUCUCUUCGAGGGCUCCA